GUGGGGAAUAUUGGACAAUGGGCGCAAGCCUGAUGCAGCCAUGCCGCGUGUGUGAAGAAGGCCUUCGGGUUGUAAAGCACUUUCAGCGAGGAGGAAGGCGUUNNGGUUAAUACCCUNNUGNAUUGACGUUACUCNCAGAAUAAGCACCGGCUAACUCCGUGCCAGCAGCCGCGGUAAUACGGAGGGUGCAAGCGUUAAUCGGAAUUACUGGGCGUAAAGCGCGCGCAGGUGGUUUGUUAAGUCGGAUGUGAAAUCCCCGGGCUCAACCUGGGAACUGCAUUCGAAACUGGCANGCUAGAGUCUUGUAGAGGGGGGUNGAAUUCCAGGUGUAGCGGUGAAAUGCGUAGAGAUCUGGAGGAACACCGGUGGCGAAGGCGGCCCCCUGGACAAAGACUGACGCUCAGGUGCGAAAGCGUGGGGAGCAAACAGGAUUAGAUACC
rnacentral:rRNA from 1 species